GAUUAAAAAAGAAGAAUUAUUAGGUUAGAAGAUAUUAAAAAUUAUACAAUUUUAGAUAUAUUAUAAAAGAAACUCGAUAAUUUUAAUCAUCCUGUAAAUGAAGUUUGUAAAAUAUUUAUAUGAAGAUUAUUUCGUUCAGUUAUGGAAAAUCAAAUAAAAAGGUCGUAAGAAGUCUAUAGUAGAUCCAAUGUGAUAAAAUUGAUAAAAAAGAGGUUAUAAUAGGUUCUAAAAAGAAUUUUCUGGUUGUUUAAUUAUGGAAAAAACAUAAAUGGAAAGUUAAAAGUGAUGUUGAUAUUGUAUAAGGAAGAUUAAUUGGAAAAAAAUUUUGUAAAACAGCCUAAAAAUAAAAGGUGAUUUCGCGAGACAAGGAUUAUUCUAACAAGAAUACUGAAUCAAUACGGCAAUUUGAAAUAUUAUAUAGAGAAAACUUUUCUUAGUUUUAUUUAAAUAUACAUCAUCGUUGGAUAUAAUCCGAUAUCUCCCAAAUAUGUUUACCAUUGUAAUGGAAAACACAUUCAAAUAAUUAUCAUGGGAAUAAAAGGGGACGGAUUCUACUUUAAAAAACUGCACUUUGAAGACUAUAUAGUAAUAGUUUUGAGUGAUAUUGAUGAGUAAUGUUAAAAGAACUCAAGAGGUCAGUAAAGAACGUUGGGUUAACGCGGAACAUGAGCAACAUGACUGAUACAAUAACAAAUGUAAUCAUAUAACAUCCUGGUAUUAACAAUAUCAAUGAGUGGAUUACAAGAUAAAAUUGGGAAAAGAAAACCAGACUACCGAAAUGAAAACAAGAAUUGACUUAAUUUUUCGCAGUAUUUGAUAAGCUUUGUCAUAUCCUAAAGGACAUAAUCAUCUUAAGUAACAUAAAAAGGAAAGUAUAUGAAUCAUGUAUACUUCCCAUAGUCUCACAAGGGAGCUAUAACCGGUUAACAAUAAUUUUUCCAGUUCAAUCUGGUUUUUCUCGGCGAGCCCCCACUUGGAUAAGGAAGCUCGGCCCGGAUUAUAAUGAAUCUUUUAUAAGGACUUCCAGGAUAAACACACAAACUCUAGGAAACCGAGUGAUUUUUGUCUCAAAUGCGUGGAAAUUGAAUAUACCUAACCUAACUUAAACCAACCUAAUCCAUACGAUAAAUCUAACACGCCCUCUGUUUUUAUUAGCUCCCAUAGUCUCAUAAUGGAGCUAUAACCGGUUAAUAACAAUUUAACCAGUUCUAUCUGGUUUUUCUCGGCAAGUGCUCGCUUUUUUGCGUCCCCACAUGGAUGAGGGAGCUCGGUUCGGAUUCUAGUAGUAACUAUAAAAAUAUUUUAAGUGUAAUGAACACUGAAUAUAAGCUAGGCGAAUAUUUGGACCACUAAUCGAAAAGAGAAAUCUCCCAUUGGUGCAGAGUUCGUUUAGCGACCACCAGUGUUGCUCCGAUGUCCUCGAAAGUCAAGUUUUUCGACUUUGGUAGAAUCACUCCGUGAUCCAGAGCCGUGAAUUUCGCGACGAGGUAAGCGAAGACCUCGAAAGUAGUGAAAAUGUCUUUUCGGGCGAAACGCGAACAGAUAAUUCCUAGAGCUAAUUAUAAAGGAUCCCAGGAUAAACACAAAAACUUUAGCGCCCAAAACUCGUUUAAUCGUUUCUAGACCUCCCUAAUUCAGUUAGAACCGCGAAUUUUGCGGCCUGGUAAGCGAAGUCCUCGAAAAUAUUGAAAGUAUCUUCAGACGAAACUUGACCAAAUAGUAUCUAGAGCCAUUAUACAGCAUCCCUGGAUAAAUACCCAAACUCAAGCUCCCCAUGGUAGGUGAUGUAGAAUAUGAGCUAAAAAAUUAACAUUUUUCUAGACUUACUUGCAAUAAUUCAGCGACAUAAUCAACGCCUUUGGUUUUCUUCAAUUUCAAUUUAUCUUCUUCGUCAAUUUCGAAUUCUAUGUUACCUAAAUGCAAAGUGGCGGCUACUACUUUCCACAACGUAUCCUGUUCUUGUUUACUGAAUUGGAGUGUGUUCAAUGAUGAAGAUACUUCGCGAUAAUCGUUUUUAUCGUUUAUUGUGUUAACUACGGCCGCAUUUCCUUGCUUCACGUAGAAAUACUGAUGGGUAUCACGAGAUAAGUUCAGUCUUUUCAACAAGUCUUCAUUCGCUCCCGAUAAAAGCUGUAAAAACAUACAAAUACUGCGAAUCGCUAAUUUCUUCGCAUUUCUUCGAUAUGGAUUUUUACCUGAUAAAAACAAUGGAAGUUUCUUUCUCCGGGUUGUUGGUGUAUCACACGCGAUUUUUCCAACAAAUACUUAUUAAUGUGACCACCGAUUGGGUCGCCUUUGAAAUCAAAGUGGAUAUCCAUGUAUUUACCGAACCUGGAAGAAUUGUCGUUCCUGUUAGUUUUGGCGUUACCGAAUGCUUCUAAAAUUGAAUUCGACUGGAUCAGAACGUCCUUAACACGUUCGAUUUCCUUUUGACCUCCUGAAAAUAUAUAUUUUGAAAAUGUUAGGUUAUAUAUUUGGAUGGAAGCGACAGGUUAGAAAGCUGCGAAAAAUAGCGUCCUGAUUUUGACAUAUCAAAUCACAACCUCCCCCGGUAACGAGUGCCUAAUGUAAAUUCAAUAAAGUUGUGGUGACAAAUUUUGAAAAUGUCGGUGAGCAAAAUAAGUGGAAUUACGAGAUCCGUUCGAACAAUUGGAUAUAAGACUGAAAUCAAAGUUUUCCAUAGAAAACUAGUGACUCGCAUCGUUUUUUUCUUUUUGUGAGUGUACAGUGCAACUAGAGUAAAUUCUAAUGAGAACUGUGAUCAUUUAUUCAAGUGUUGGAUCGCUGAAAGACUUUCUGUCUAUCCUCAACCGCCUAACUCGCCAGAUUUAGUACCAUGCGACUUCUUGAAUGCUAAAACCGAAACGUUUUAACACCAUUCCUGAUUUGUAAACUCUUCUAGUAAUGGGUUUAACAAUGAGUGCAUUUUUAGCAAAGGGUAGUAUUUUUCAUUGUCUUUUUAAAACUUUUUUAUCACGCCCUCUAUUUUCAAACGAAAUUAUGACAAAAUAUAUUUAAUUUUUGACAUUAUUUAACAAUUGUUUUGACAAUUAGUUGCGGCGAUUAUUAAAAAGCUAUCAAAACAACACCAUUCAUUAUUACUAAUAAUACUAUAUAAUAGGGCUGAUCCCUUUCAGCCGCCUCCGACCCAUUUAUAAAUCAAAACAAUUACGUCAUACUGUAACAUAUCAUGUAUACAUGGAGUUAAUAUUAGAGAGAGGGGCCAGAUACGUAGAACUGUAGUAUUGGAAAAGAGAGAAAAAACACUCCACCACUAAAAUCUUUGACGUCAUAGCAAGUCAAUCAGAAUAAAGUAGAACAGGGCGUAGCUAUGUUCUUUCUCUCUCUAUCAAUAUCAAAAGUAUGGUAUAGACAAUUAACCUGCAUUAGAUAGAACAGAUGACGUACAUAAUGAAUGACAGACGUGACGGAUGAGUUUAAAAACACAAUUUAUUACGACACACAAAACAAAUUGGAUCAUAGAUCAUGAUAAAUGAUGGAACGCGUGGCAGCACAGAAUACAAGACAGCUGACAUAUGACAGUAUAGACGGACAUAAUAAUGACAGGUGAUGGAUGAGUUCAAAGACAAAGAUCAUAGAUGAUGCACUUAAUAGAUGGAAUUAUAGAACAUACGAUAUAGAACGCGUUAUAGCACAAAAUAUGUGAUAGGAUAGAUAACGCACGUAGUGAAUGACAGAUGACGCACGUGACCGAUGAAUUCAAAGAGAUAAAGAGUAAUAGAUGACUGAUAACACACGCGAUAGAUGGGUUCAAAAACACAAGCAGUUAAGAUGAUACAUAAUGGAUGGGAGUAUAGAUCAUAUGAUAAAUGGCAGAACGUGUCGCAGCACAGAAUACAAAACGGGUGACACGUGACAUUUGACAGUAUCGAUGACGUACGUAAUUAAGACAGGUGAUAGAUGGGUUCAAAGACAAAUAUCAUAGAUGUGGAUUAUAUAUGAAUGGAAUAUAUGAUAGGAUAGGUGACGCACGUAGUGGAUGACAGUUGACACACGUGACGGAUGAGUUCAAAGAAAUGAGGAAUCGUAGAGUUGACACACAAAAUUUCGCGGAUACAUUUAGGGAAAAGUGCAGUGUCAUAUGGCACAGUGAAAAGAUGAAGUGUGUGACGUGUAUGAUGUAGCAGAGUGAGGAGUGGAAAAACGAGAUUCACCAGGAGUUUAAGCAAAUUUUUAUCGUUGUAUGUAUGGUUAAGGGUGUCAUAUAAAUCGCGACCUAAAAUAUUGAUCAAGUCUCCGUCGUUAGAUCUUUACAUUUUUUUAAUGAUCUAUGAGAUGAAUGUUCUAACCUCAAUGAAGACUAUGUGGGAAAAUAAAAAUAUCUUCGCCAAUUUUUAUCGUGAGUAUAGAGCGCGGAGCAAAUGGAUCAACCCUUGUAUAUAUACUUCACACGUACGUUUAUGGUAUGGUUGGUGAAAAGUUUUAAUAAUAUGAAUAGAACGAUGUUAGAAAACACGAAAUACACUUCUGUGGUAGUUAACGGAGUACUUACUAGAACUGCACGUUAUUUCUGAAAUUUAUAAUAGAAAUAUUAAAAAAAAAAAAUUAUUUUAUCAAGUAGAUCGAAACGUGUAGGUAGCAAAAAUAUUAUAAAUCUUUUACUUGAGGUGAAGAUAAGAAUAAGUCGUGUAACUUAUAAACAGAUGGCGCUGCUAUUGUCAAACCAUAUGACGUUUACGGAGUACCAACUUUCAGAAGACUAUGUUCAGGAUUAAGAUUUACAAGGCCCGCGGCUAAAAUAAUGACGGGGCCCACUUUUGUAUGAAAAAAUUUAAAAAAUAAUAUCAAUACGUUAGAUUUGUGGUAUCAAUACAUCAAAAAAUACAGAAUGAUUUAGCAAAUGAUGGGGCCCGGGGCUAUAGCCUCCUCAAGCCACUAGCUUAAUCCGGCCCUGACUAUGUGUAAUAUUUCAUGACAUUUAGAUUAGUCAGAAAAAAGUGACGGCCAUUAAGUCGAACUACUUUUGUUAUUUUCAAAACACUGGAUUCUAAAAAAUUUGGUGUGUUAAUUCCUUCUUGAUGAAAAAAAUACUAAACAAGCUCAGCAACGGCUUCAAAAGUGUUAUCCGGUCUCUUCUCCAUCGAAAAGAACUAUUUUUUAUUGGUUUGCUGAAUUUGAAGUUGGUCGUACAGACUCCGAUGAUAGUGAACGUUCUGGUCGUUCAUUUGACGUGGUUACUACAGAAAACAUCAAAAACGUCCACAAAAUGGUUAUAUCUAGCGAUAGAUGGUCUAGAGAUAAUCAAUAACGAAUACUAAAUGGAUUUGUUGGAUCAUUUGAAUGCAAAAAUCAAGGAAAAACGGCUUCAUAUGUCGAAGAAAAAAUCACUGCAUCACCAAGACAAUGCACCGAUUCACAAGUCGAUGGUAACGGUGGUUAAAUUACACUUCGAGUUGCUUCAUCAACCACCGUAUAGUCCAGAUCAGACCCCCAGUGACUACUGGCUAUUCGCUGAUAUCAAAAAAAUGCUCGCCGGUAAAAAUUCAGCUCAAAUGAAGAAGCAGUUGUCGAAACUGAAGCCUCUUUUGAAGCCAAAUACAAAUCCUUCUAAAAGCACGGCAUCGAGAAGUUAGAAAAACGUUGGAAUGGUUGUAUUGCUCUUGAAGGAAAUUACAUUGAUCAAUAAAAUUGUUUUUAGGCAAAAAA